rnacentral:rRNA from 1 species
UACGUAGGGGGCGAGCGUUGUCCGGAUUUAUUGGGCGUAAAGAGCUCGUAGGCGGUUCGAUAAGUCGGAUGUGAAAUCUCCACGCUCAACGUGGAGGGGCCAUUCGAUACUGUCGUGACUCGAGUCCGGUAGGGGAGUGUGGAAUUCCCGGUGUAGCGGUGAAAUGCGCAGAGAUCGGGAGGAACACCAGUGGCGAAGGCGAGUCUCUGGGAUGAUGCUGACGCUGAUGCGCGAAAGCCAGGGGAGCAAACGGG